rnacentral:rRNA from 1 species
GGCGGUAUUUUAGUCUAUUCAGAGGAACCUGUUUUAUAAUCGAUAAUCCACGAUGGACCUUACUUAAAUUUGUAUUCAGUUUAUAUAUCGUCGUUAUUAGAAAAUUUUUUUAGAAAGUUAAUUUUCAAGAAUUUUAAAGAGAAAAUAUAUCAGAUCAAGGUGUAGCUUAUGUUUAAGUAAAAAUGGGUUACAAUAAAAUUAUUUAAAUGAAUAUAAAUUUGAAAUAUUUAUUGAAGGUGGAUUUGAUAGUAAAAUUAUAAAGAUUAGUAAUUUGAUUUUAGCUCUAAAAUAUGCACACAUCGCCCGUCACUCUUACUAUUAAGGUAAGAUAAGUCGUAACAUAGUAGAUGUACUGGAAAGUGUAUCUAGAAUGCAAUUUAAAGCUUAUAAAGUAAAGUAUUUCAUUUACAUUGAAAGGAUUUUUGUGCGAAUCAAUAUAAAUUGAUUAUAUUUUAUUUAUUAAUUAUAUUUUUUUUUUUUAU